AUGAAUGCCUUCUCUGAGGAAUCAGAAAAGGAGCUGAUGAAGAACCACAAGGUCUUGCAGACACCUAUCUGCAGUAUUGCUGUGGAGCGGGCGGGAUCCUGCACUGCGAUCGCGGCAGCAGCUCCAGCCAGGGCGGGCUCGGGCGGCGGCAGCGGCACGCGAGCCCCUAGGAGGACCGUACCACCGUACGCCAGCAGGCCUGGCGGGAGCAGCGGAGCCUCGGGCGCAGCGGGCGGUGGGGCGGGCGCGGGGACCCGGCCGGGCGACAGCGGGACCGCGGGCGUGGGGGCCACUGGCCCUGGGGCCGCCACCAAGGUUGUGACAAAGGAGGAAGAUGAGUGGAAAGAAUUUGAGCAAAAAGAGGUUGAUUACAGCGGCCUAAGAGUUCAAGCAAUGCAAAUAAGUGAAAAGGAAGAUGAAGUUGAAAAAAGAGAAGAUCCAAGUGAUAACUGGGAAGAAGGUGGAGGUGGAGGUGGUGGUGGUGGUGCAGAAAAAUCUUCAGGCCCUUGGAAUAAAACUGCUCCGGUACAAGCACCUCCUGCUCCAGUAGUUGUUACAGAAACCCCAGAACCGACAAUGACUAGUGGCGUGUAUAGGCCUCCUGGAGCCAGGUUGACCACAACAAGGAAAGCACCACAAGGACCACCGGAAUCUAUAGUGACGCGCAGUUCCCAUCCCUGCAGUCCACUGCCAAGCAUGUAGAAAGCCGGAAAUACUGAGCCUUCGUAAGGGUUGACUACCUCAGAUUUGCUGCACUCAUUGUGGACUUCAUGUGGAUCACAACUUCUGGAUAAGAAGGUUACAGCUAUUAAGUGUCGAUGUGAAACUUGAAACCAGCUCUACUGGAUUCCUAUCAGAGAUCCUGCAGAAAGUCAGCCAUCUGGGUUCUGAUCUGCUGUAAAAGAUGAAGAUUUAAGUGACCUUAAUUAACCUGUCCUGUGCCCCAUCUAUAAGGAAUACUCUGAGGUGGACUGUGGCUGGAUUAGACUUCCUGGAACUUGCCGCUCUCAAAAGAACUGAUGUGCUUGGAUAAUCUGUAGGGCUCUGACUUAUAAUUUAAAACUUUGAGUUGUAUUCUGAGGUAACCACAAAUUAAAUUCAACCAAACUUGGGUCACCAAGUGGGGAAAGGGG